AGUCACUGACAUUAGAUACCCGGGUAGUCCAGGGUGUAAACGCUGCAGACUUGGUGUUGGAAAUCCUUCGAGGGUAUUCAGUGCCGGAGAGAAGUUGUUAAGUCUGCUACGUUGGGGAGUACGUCCGCAAGGAUGAAAACUUAAAGGAAUUGGCGGGGGAGCACCGCAACGGGAGGAGCGUGCGGUUUAAUUGGAUUCAACACCGGAAAACUCACCAGGGGAGACUGUUACAUGAAACCCAGACUAAUGAUCUUGGUUGAUUUUCAG
rnacentral:rRNA from 1 species